rnacentral:rRNA from 1 species
UACGUAGGGUGCAAGCGUUAAUCGGAAUUACUGGGCGUAAAGCGUGCGCAGGCGGUUUUGUAAGUUUGUCGUGAAAUCCCCGGGCUUAACCUGGGAAUGGCAUUUGGGACUGCAUGGCUAGAGUGUGUCAGAGGGGGGUAGAAUUCCACGUGUAGCAGUGAAAUGCGUAGAGAUGUGGAGGAAUACCGAUGGCGAAGGCAGCCCCCUGGGAUAACACUGACGCUCAUGCACGAAAGCGUGGGGAGCAAACAGG